rnacentral:piRNA from 1 species
AAGGGUAGACUGGAAGAGCUGGUA